AGUGAACGCUGGCGGUAGGCCUAACACAUGCAAGUCGAACGGCUGCACAGGAGAGCUUGCUCUCUGGGUGGCGAGUGGCGGACGGGUGAGGAAUACAUCGGAAUCUACUCUGUCGUGGGGGAUAACGUAGGGAAACUUACGCUAAUACCGCAUACGACCUACGGGUGAAAGCAGGGGACCUUCGGGCCUUGCGCGAUUGAAUGAGCCGAUGUCGGAUUAGCUAGUUGGCGGGGUAAAGGCCCACCAAGGCGACGAUCCGUAGCUGGUCUGAGAGGAGGAUCAGCCACACUGGAACGGAGACACGGUCCAGACUCCUACGGGAGGCAGCAGUGGGGAAUAUUGGACAAUGGGCGCAAGCCUGAUCCAGCCAUACCGCGUGGGUGAAGAAGGCCUUCGGGUUGUAAAGCCCUUUUGUUGGGAAAGAAAUCCAGCUGGCUAAUACCCGGUUGGGAUGACGGUACCCAAAGAAUAAGCACCGGCUAACUUCGUGCCAGCCGCCGCCGUAA
rnacentral:rRNA from 1 species